CACUCCUACGGGAGGCAGCAGUGGGGAAUAUUGGACAAUGGGCGCAAGCCUGAUCCAGCCAUGCCGCGUGAGUGAUGAAGGCCCUAGGGUUGUAAAGCUCUUUCACCGGAGAAGAUAAUGACGGUAUCCGGAGAAGAAGCCCCGGCUAACUUCGUGCCAGCAGCCGCGGUAAUACGAAGGGGGCUAGCGUUGUUCGGAAUUACUGGGCGUAAAGCGCACGUAGGCGGAUCGAUCAGUCAGGGGUGAAAUCCCAGGGCUCAACCCUGGAACUGCCUUUGAUACUGUCGAUCUGGAGUAUGGAAGAGGUGAGUGGAAUUCCGAGUGUAGAGGUGAAAUUCGUAGAUAUUCGGAGGAACACCAGUGGCGAAGGCGGCUCACUGGUCCAUUACUGACGCUGAGGUGCGAAAGCGUGGGGAGCAAACAGGAUUAGAAACCCCUGUAGUCCCAUGAU
rnacentral:rRNA from 1 species